rnacentral:rRNA from 1 species
GUGUCAGCCGCCGCGGUAAUACGGAGGGUGCAAGCAUUGUUCGGAAUUAUUGGGCGUAAAGAGCGUGUAGGCGGCCUUGUAAGUCAGAUGUGAAAUCCCUUGGCUUAACCAAGGAAGGGCAUUUGAAACUGCUUGGCUUGAGUACGGGAGAGGGAAGUGGAAUUCCCGGUGUAGAGGUGAAAUUCGUAGAUAUCGGGAGGAACACCAGUGGCGAAGGCGGCUUCCUGGACCGAUACUGACGCUGAGACGCGAAAGCGUGGGGAGCAAACAGGAUUAGAUACCCUGGUAGUCCACGCCGUAAACGUUGGGCACUAGGUGUUGUGGGUAUUGACCCCCGCAGUGCCGAAGCUAACGCAUUAAGUGCCCCGCCUGGGGAGUACGGUCGCAAGGCUAAAACUCAAAUGAAUUGACGGGG